rnacentral:rRNA from 1 species
CGGAAGUUUUCGGAUGGAAGCAGUAAACCUUAGCGGCGGACGGGUGAGUAACGCGUGGGUAACCUGCCUCAUACAGGGGGAUAACAGUUAGAAAUGACUGCUAAAACCGCAUAAGCGCACAUUGUCGAGUGACAGAGUGUGAAAAACUCCGGUGGUAUGAGAUGGACCCGCGUCUGAUUAGCUAGUUGGUGAGGUAACGGCCCACCAAGGCGACGAUCAGUAGCCGGCCUGAGAGGGCGACCGGCCACAUUGGGACUGAGACACGGCCCAAACUCCUACGGGAGGCAGCAGUGGGGAAUAUUGCACAAUGGGGGAAACCCUGAUGCAGCGACGCCGCGUGAGUGAAGAAGUAUUUCGGUAUGUAAAGCUCUAUCAGCAGGGAAGAAGAAAGACGGUACCUGACUAAGAAGCCCCGGCUAACUACGUGCCAGCAGCCGCGGCAAUACGUAGGGGGCAAGCGUUAUCCGGAUUUACUGGGUGUAAAGGGAGCGUAGACGGCUGUGCAAGUCUGAAGUGAAAGCCCAGGGCUCAACCCUGGGACUGCUUUGGAAACUGUGGAGCUAGAGUGCUGGAGAGGUAAGUGGAAUUCCUAGUGUAGCGGUGAAAUGCGUAGAUAUUAGGAGGAACACCAGUGGCGAAGGCGGCUUACUGGACAGUAACUGACGUUGAGGCUCGAAAGCGUGGGGAGCAAACAGGAUUAGAUACCCUGGUAGUCCACGCGGUAAACGAUGAAUACUAGGUGUUGGAGAGCAAAGCUUUUCGGUGCCGUCGCAAACGCAAUAAGUA